AAGCUCGUAGUUGAAUUUCGAGACCGGCUUACUGGUCGUGCUUUUGUACGUACUGGUGUAAUCGGUUUCUCCUUUCUGACGAACUAUAAUGCCAUUAAUUUGGUGUUAUAGGGAAUCAGGACUGUUACUUUGAAAAAAUUAGAGUGUUUAAAGCAGGCUCACGCUUGAAUACAUUAGCAUGGAAUAACGGAAUAGGACGUUUGAUUCUAUUUUGUUGGUUUCUAGGAUCGACGUAAUGAUUAAUAGGGAUAGUUGGG
rnacentral:rRNA from 1 species